UUUCACCCCAUCUUUUCCCCAAUUUUUCCCAUUUUUUUUCACCACUUUAUCCCCAUUUAUUCCCCAUUUUUUCCCCGUUUUUCCCCAUUUAUUCCCCAUUUUUUCACCGUUUUUCGCCGUUUUUUCGUCAUUUUUUCCCCGUUUUUCGCCGUUUUUUCACCGUUUUUCGCCGUUUUUCGCCGUUUUUUCGCCGUUUCUCCCCUUUUAACCAAUAUUUCCCUUUUUCCCCCCAUUCCAGAGCCCCCUGAGGACGCCGUUUCCCGCUCCCAAUCCCGGCUCCGGCGCCGGGCCCUCUCCUCGCUGGCGCUGCGGGAGCUGCGGGACGAGUUGGGGGAGGGGCCCCGGCAGGAGGGGGAGGGGCCGGGCCACGCCCCCCCCGCCCAGAUCCACAGGCGCCGCUUUGAGGAGUCGAUGCUGCGGCGCCUCAGCGCCCCCUGGCGGCCGCCAAAGGGGGCGGGGCCAGGCCUGGAUGACGUCACCAACCUCGGGGCGUUUCCCGCCCUUUUGGGAGCGGCCAAUCAGGUGCGGGGGGCGUGGCCUGGGGGGGGAAAAGGCGGGA
rnacentral:lncRNA from 1 species